CCUACGGGAGGCAGCAGUGGGGAAUAUUGGGCAAUGGGCGCAAGCCUGACCCAGCAACGCCGCGUGAAGGAAGAAGGCUUUCGGGUUGUAAACUUCUUUUGUCAGGGAAGAGUAGAAGACGGUACCUGACGAAUAAGCCACGGCUAACUACGUGCCAGCAGCCGCGGUAAUAAGUAGGUGGCACGCGUUGUCCGGAUUUACUGGGUGUAAAGGGCGUGUAGCCGGGUUGACAAGUCAGAUGGGAAAUCCUGCGGCUUAACCGCAGAAGUGCAUUUGAAACUGUUGUUCUUGAGUACUGGAGAGGCAGGUGGAAUUCCUGGUGUAGCGGUGAAAUGCGUAGAUAUUAGGAAGAACACCGGUGGCGAAGGCGGUCUGCUGGACAGCAACUGACGGUGAGGCGCGAAAGCGUGGGGAGCAAACAGGAUUAGAUACCCUUGUAGUC
rnacentral:rRNA from 1 species